AGUAACACGUGAGCAACCUGCCCUGAACUCUGGGAUAAGCGCUGGAAACGGCGUCUAAUACUGGAUAUGAGCUGCGGAGGCAUCUUCGUGGUUGGAAAGAUUUUUCGGUUUGGGAUGGGCUCGCGGCCUAUCAUCUUGUUGGUGAGGUAAUGGCUCACCAAGGCGUCGACGGGUAGCCGGCCUGAAAGGGUGACCGGCCACACUGGGACUGAAACACGGCCCAGACUCCUACGGGAGGCAGCAGUGGGGAAUAUUGCACAAUGGGCGGAAGCCUGAUGCAGCAACGCCGCGUGAGGGAUGACGGCCUUCGGGUUGUAAACCUCUUUUAGCAGGGAAGAAGCGAAAGUGACGGUACCUGCAGAAAAAGCGCCGGCUAACUACGUGCCAGCAGCCGCGGUAAUACGUAGGGCGCAAGCGUUAUCCGGAAUUAUUGGGCGUAAAGAGCUCGUAUGCGGUUUGUCGCGUCUGCUGUGAAAACCCGAGGCUCAACCUCGGGCCUGCAGUGGGUACGGGCAGACUAGAGUGCGGUAGGGGAGAUUGGAAUUCCAUGGUGUAGCGGUGGAAUGCGCAGAUAUCAGGAGGAACACCGAUGGCGAAGGCAGAUCUCUGGGCCGUAACUGACGCUGAGGAGCGAAAGGGUGGGGAGCAAACAGGCUUAGAUACCCUGGUAGUCCACCCCGUAAACGUUGGGAACUAGUUGUGGGGUCCAUUCCACGGAUUCCGUGACGCAGCUAACGCAUUAAGUUCCCCGCCUGGGGAGUACGGCCGCAAGGCUAAAACUCAAAGGAAUUGACGGGGACCCGCACAAGCGGCGGAGCAUGCGGAUUAAUUCGAUGCAACGCGAAGAACCUUACCAAGGCUUGACAUACACGAGAACGCUGCAGAAAUGUAGAACUCUUUGGACACUCGUGAACAGGUGGUGCAUGGUUGUCGUCAGCUCGUGUCGUGAGAUGUUGGGUUAAGUCCCGCAACGAGCGCAACCCUCGUUCUAUGUUGCCAGCACGUAAUGGUGGGAACUCAUGGGAUACUGCCGGGGUCAACUCGGAGGAAGGUGGGGAUGACGUCAAAUCAUCAUGCCCCUUAUGUCUUGGGCUUCACGCAUGCUACAAUGGCCGGUACAAAGGGCUGCAAUACCGCGAGGUGGAGCGAAUCCCAAAAAGCCGGUCCCAGUUCGGAUUGAGGUCUGCAACUCGACCUCAUGAAGUCGGAGUCGCUAGUAAUCGCAGAUCAGCAACGCUGCGGUGAAUACGUUCCCGGGUCUUGUACACACCGCCCGUCAAGUCAUGCAAAGUCGGUAACACCUGAAGCCGGUGGCCCAACCCU
rnacentral:rRNA from 1 species